GAGUGUGCUGCAUUGUGAUGCCCACUAAUUUCUGUUCUCCCUUGAUGGAUGAACCUGCUGUUUCAUUGCUGCUGUUUUGCUCCAUGUGGUUUUGUUUGUACUUUUGAUUGGGUUCACUUGAGUUUUUAUUGUUUUGCUGAACCAAGUGGGUUGCUUUAUAAGGAUGCACAGUGUGGAUUUGUAAAUUUCUAUUAAGUUGAGUGUCAUAUUGGUGUGUGUGUGGCUGAGUGCUCAUGGUGAGGCCCUCACACAUAUUGCAUGUGACUAUGAGCUCUGAGACAUGGCUGUAAGCUGCAUGGGUUUUGCUUUCUGACUUUGGUGAACCCCUGGACUCUCCUCAGUGUAGUCUGCCUCUCCACAUGUGGCUUCGGUUCUGUUGCCUCUGGCUGUUUCUUGGACUGCUGUGUAUGUCUAUGUGAAAUCACACUGUAUGACGGUUAUGCUUUCCUCUCAGAAGUAUUUGUCUGGUUGGUCAGGCUGAGAUCUGAGCUUUAGACAUCACAUCCUAGGAUGUGUUCUUUUACCAAGUAAAAUGUGGUUUGUCUGAUUCAUAUUCUUGAUUUCCUCUCAUUCUGUUGUUCUGGCAGCUGCACUGUUUCUGAUAUUGAGUUCUGUGGCAGAACAUCACCUCGUCACUUUGACAAGCUAAGUAUUUACCUUUUUGUUCAAACAUGCUGAGCUGAUGUCAGUCUGGUGUUCAGUGUGUUUGUGCUCUUGAACCAGAAAGCUCUGAACACGGUGUCCACUGGAUGAUACGCUCUUCUGCUGCAGCAGCAUUGGUGUUGACGUGUUGUCACUUUGCUGCUGCUUACUGGGGGAACAACAACCAACAACAACGGCGCCGCUGGGAGAGGAUAGACUCCACCAUCAACCAGUAGUACCCCAUUCAGAUCCAGAUGCUACACCAGUCGGGGCGUCUCAUUCCAGCAAGAUGCUUCCACUAACGUAAAUCAGGUUUUAAAAGGUGAAGGAUGCCCUGGAGUGUGCGGUAGGUGAGAAGGUCCACCUCCUCCAGGUCAGGCCCUCCCAGUGGCAUAGAGCAGAGCUGUUUCCACACCCAAGGAGCCAGAUGCAAGUCCAGAGGUUUCUUGGUGCGGAUGGCCACCGCCAUGAGAAUGCCCAGGAAGCGAAACUGGACCAUGUGAUCCUCUGAGAAGGCUGCGGGGUUCAACAGGAACCUGUGACGGGGCCCCAGGCGUAGACGUCUCCGGUGGAAGACAGAGCGAGCACAUGUUCACAGCCCACAGCAAUGUCCUCUAUGAACAGCCCCUCCAGAGACGGCACCACCUGAGGGUUGGACUUAUUCUUCAGCAUGGAGUCCGGCAGG